GACGAACGCUGGCGGCGUGCUUAACACAUGCAAGUCGAACGGUAAGGCCCUUCGGGGUACACGAGUGGCGAACGGGUGAGUAACACGUGGGUGGUCUACCCUGCACUUCGGGAUAAGCCUGGGAAACUGGGUCUAAUACCGGAUAGGACCACUGCCUGCAUGGGUGGUGGUGGAAAGCUUUUGCGGUGUGGGAUGGGCCCGCGGCCUAUCAGCUUGUUGGUGGGGUGAUGGCCUACCAAGGCGACGACGGGUAGCCGGCCUGAGAGGGUGACCGGCCACACUGGACUGAGAUACGGCCCAGACUCCUACGGGAGGCAGCAGUGGGGAAUAUUGCACAAUGGGCGCAAGCCUGAUGCAGCGACGCCGCGUGAGGGAUGACGGCCUUCGGGUUGUAAACCUCUUUCAGCACCGACGAAGCGCAAGUGACGGUAGGUGCAGAAGAAGGACCGGCCAACUACGUGCCAGCCGCCGCAGUAA
rnacentral:rRNA from 1 species